rnacentral:sRNA from 1 species
ACUUUCCGGCCCCCGUCGCGGGAGCCGCUUCGGGCCUUCUGGGCAUGUGUGCCGUAUGGCUCCAGGUUUGUUUUUCUCCCCGGCAGUCUGAGGGGGAGGGCUCCCGGCAUCUCCUGGCGUCCGGGUAGAGGACGCGGAGGGUCGCAGCUUCAUUGCCUGAUGUCUUCGGGAAGUAUUUUGAAGUCAUCGUGGCUAUGGAUUGGGGAAUUUCUUGUUUCCACUGACCUGUGAGGCCGCGCACGCGGAGGGAGGCACCCCAGGCCCUCCGGCACUGUCCAGCCUCGCCUGUGUUCCCAGUAGCACCAGUGGGCAUUUUCAGAGGGUCCAGCUCGUGGCUCAAGUGACAGGAAGAUGUAGGAGCUUUCUGUCUUGAGUGAGGAUUCGAACCAAAGGGCUUAGGCCCAGCUGUCUUGGAGCAAAGCAGCUGUUGUGGGACCCCCACAGGCUGGGAGCUUUGUGCCCAUUCAGAUGUGGGGGCAGAGGAGGGCAAGGCCGAAGGAGCAGACAGCACCGCUUCUUGGGGAGUUGUGAAGGCAUCAUGCGGAGGGACGAGCUUAGCAGCCAAGUGGAGGACAGCACCCUCCAUGCCUAGAUUCGUUACUCGCUCGUUCUAGAUGCUGAGCUGCUGGCGCACUGCAGCACAACUAGAGAUGUACGGAUGCCCCCAUCUUGAUCUUACAGAAUCAGAGGUACAGCCGCGAGAAAGGUCUAGUCAAGAACAGACAGAGUCGCUUGAGGACUCAGAAGGGUGUUUGCUGCGUUGACAACAGACUACACCCUCACAGUUUGCUCUGCUCUUCCAACACCAGUGGAAGAUGAUCACAUCCCAGGGAUCAGUGUCGUUUAGGGAUGUGACUGUGGGCUUCACUCAAGAGGAGUGGCAGCAUCUGGACCCUGCUCAGAGGACCCUGUACAGGGAUGUGAUGCUGGAGAACUACAGCCACCUUGUCUCAGUAGGGUAUUGCAUUCCUAAACCAGAAGUGAUUCUCAAGUUGGAGAAAGGCGAGGAGCCAUGGAUAUUAGAGGAAAAAUUUCCAAGCCAGAGUCAUCUGGGUGAGUUAGUAUGUGCCAGAUGGAAUUUAAAGGAAGGUAGAUCACAAAGGGUAAGUUUGGAUAAUAAGACCAUUGAAAUGUUCUUUAGGAAUCAU